GCCCACAUGGUAUAGUGGUUAGAGCAUUAGACAAUGACUCUGGAGACCAGGGUUCAAAUCCUGGCUCAGCCA